rnacentral:lncRNA from 1 species
GUACUUCUUGGCUUGGGAACCUCAUCGCCCGACAGUGCUCUUUAUUUUUCCGUGGAGCAGCUCUGCUUUCUCAGGUCUCUACUUACUUCUAUAAGAUGGCAUCAAGAAGAAGGACCUGACCACUGGCCCCUGACUACAUGGUCUUUGGUGUCUUAUAGGGAAACUUCAGUAUUGCUUCUGUAUAUCCUCAACAGGAACCAGUGGCAUUGGAAGAUGUCAGAGACAUGGCACAUGGAUGUGAUCUUCAAAAACUGUUACAGCUUCAUCUCAUUGGAGGAAAGAGAUAAUAGCUUCUACUUAAUCCUGGAUACCGUAUCCAAAGUUAGAGCAUCCACUCCAAAGCCGAGAAUUUCUGAAAAACAAAACAAUGUCAUCAUAUGACGUUAGAAUUUUUUUUUCAAAUGAUGGUUCCUAAUACUUCACGUUAGAAGAACUCGAAUUUGAUAACCAGUUUGAGAAACACCAGUAUAACCAGAUUACAGGAAAAAGCAAGUCAAAAGGAAGAUCAUGAAUAUAACAACUUUGAGGAAACAUGAAUCAAAGACCAAAGCUUUUUAAACAACUGAGAGUUUUUAUAAGAAAAAGACCUCAUGCAGUAGUCCCCAGUUAUUCAUGCAGUAUACAUUCCAAGACCCCCAGAGAAUGCCUGAAAUCACUGAUGUACCAAACCCUAACCAGGUUCUUGGUAUGAGCUACUGAAUGACGAAUGGGUGGGUAGUAUAUACAGUGCAGAUACACUGGACAAAGAAAUGAUUCACAGCUCAGGCAGGACAGAGCAGAUCACACAAGAUUUCAUCACAGUACUCAGAAAACCACACCAUUUAAAAGUGACGAAUUGUUUAUUUCUGGAAUUUUCCAUAUAAUAUUUUUGACCACAAUUGCCCGUGGAGAACUGAAACCAUGGAAAGUGGAACUGUGGAUAAGGCAGGACUACUGUAACUAUGACAUCAAUGGUGGGAACCUGAAGCAUAAUUCUGCUGUAGUGGAUUUUUUCAAAAGGCAACUCAUGAAUGAAAAUAAUUUAUUAGAUAUAAGAAAGGAUGCAUUUGUAUCUCAAACUUUACUUAUUUACUUAUUCUGGAAAUAAAUGAAAAGCCAACACCUAUUACA